rnacentral:rRNA from 1 species
UACGUAGGGUGCAGGCGUUAAUCGGAAUUACUGGGCGUAAAGCGUGCGCAGGCGGUUUGCUAAGACAGGUGUGAAAUCCCCGGGCUUAACCUGGGAACUGCGCUUGUAACUGGCAAGCUAGAGUGUGGCAGAGGGGGGGUGGAAUUCCACGUGUAGCAGUGAAAUGCGUAGAGAUGUGGAGGAACACCGAUGGCGAAGGCA